rnacentral:rRNA from 1 species
AGACGGAGGGGGCUAGCGUUGUUCGGAAUUACUGGGCGUAAAGCGCGCGUAGGCGGAUUGAUCAGUCAGAGGUGAAAUCCCAGGGCUCAACCCUGGAACUGCCUUUGAUACUGUCAGUCUUGAGUUCGAGAGAGGUGAGUGGAAUUCCGAGUGUAGAGGUGAAAUUCGUAGAUAUUCGGAGGAACACCAGUGGCGAAGGCGGCUCACUGGCUCGAUACUGACGCUGAGGUGCGAAAGCGUGGGGAGCAAACAGGAUUAGAUACCCCAGUAGUCC